CGUGUAGGCGGCCAGAUAAGUCAGAUGUGAAAACCCUUGGCUUAACCAAGGAAGGGCAUUUGAAACUGUCUGGCUUGAGUACGGGAGGGGGAAGUGGAAUUCCCGGUGUAGAGGUGAAAUUCGUAGAUAUCGGGAGGAACACCGGUGGCGAAGGCGGCUUCCUGGACCGAUACUGACGCUGAGACGCGAAAGCGUGGGGAGCAAACAGGAUUAGAUACCCUGGUAGUCCACGCCGUAAACUUUGGGCACUUGGUGUUGCGGGUAUUGACCCCUGCAGUGCCGAAGCUAACGCAUUAAGUGCCCCGCCUGGGGAGUACGGUCGCAAGGCUAAA
rnacentral:rRNA from 1 species